ACGCCCUAUAAGGCAAAAAAACUCUGAUAGCAGAAAGCACUUUCUCUGGCUGCAGCUAUAUCACAAUCCUGGUUCUAUGAAGAUUUGCCCUUCAGCUCAAAAAACUCAAAUUUUUAAGUAGUUUAUUUUAUGGAAACUUCUAAUAUACUGUAUUUUCAUUUGCAGUCGACUGUUUGACAAAGGAUUAUGGAAAAGUUAGGUCAAGUCGAUAAAGACCAUAAAGAGAGAGACAAGUUGUCUGUAUAUCGCAGGACAGCUUUUACAGAGAUCUCACGCCAUCAGAAAAGAUCAAAGGUAGUAGGAAGAAAGUAUUCGUGGAUGCGGACCCUGACACCAGGCUGGCACGGAUAUUAAAGCGAGACAACAGCGAGAGAGGAAGAUAUAUAGAAAAUAUCCUAUCAAGUUAUAUGAAUACAACAAAGCCAUGUUCUCACAAGUAUUGCUAUUCUACAAUCGCAUAUGCCGAUGUGAUAAUUCCUGGUGGAGCUAAUAAUGCCGGUAAGACUAUCAUGUUAGUAAAUUAUUAUCAUUGUUUGAAAAAAAAAAUAUAUGUUCGCUUAAAAAGAUCGUAAGUAUGUGCGUUGGAAAAUAAUUAACACACUAGAGUGUCAAAAUUAAUUUUUAUGUUAUAUAAUUAUUGUAUUACUUGCAUGAAAUACUACAGUACAUGGAAUCCAGUUUAACAAAAUUACACGCAUUUUUGGUUGUUAAUCAUUAAGUAGUUUUUCAAAAUAAUACAUCAUCCAUUUAUUAAUGAAACUUAACUUGGAUUAAUAAUCAUUCAAGUCAAUUUUAUCAAAAAAAUGUAUUCAAUUCAAAUUUAGUCAGUAUCUUCAACAAUCAAACCUUAUAUCUAACUAUCUAUUUCAUCCUCUGAGGUAUGGACAACUAGAGCUAGUAGAAUUAUUCCACUAAGGAAAUUGUUAAUUUGUAUGUUUACAAUUCAAACUAUUCAUUCUCACUCCCCUUGCAAGAACACUGAAGAAAUUUACUGUCCUUCUAACUUAUGUGAUAAAAAUUCAUCUAAAACUUGAAUAAAUGCGAAUUACUCCUUGUACUUCACUGGCUCGAUCUUUGUAGAGCAGCUUUGCCCUUCAAGUCAAUCUUUCAGAGUUAUUUUCUGCGAAUUGAUAACAAUUUCUAACAAUUGAUAUAUGUUAUAGUGGCGAUAGACCUUAUAGUUUACCACAUCUGGGAUAUUUUGCAUGAUUAAAAUCCAUACAUUGAGCAUUGACGAGCAUCAACAUCAUUAGUGGACUAAGCAGAUGAUUAUUAUUAAAUAUCAUCAGUAGCUUUUCAUCUGUUGUACUUGAUUCAUUUUCAUAUUCCAUAGUUUUUUUAGCAUUUUAAAUGAAUAAAUUUUUCAUGUUAUAGAGUUGGAACUAUUAACUCAAAACAUUGCAGAAGAAAUAAAAGUAAAAGGAGAAAACAUGAAAUAAAAUACUUUUGUGAUUAUUUUUGCAAUAAUACAAUUAAAUAUGUAUUACUUAAUAGUUACCUCUAGAAUUUGAAAAUAAAACCUCUUAAAAAAGG